rnacentral:rRNA from 1 species
GCGGAACGGGUGAGUAAUGCUUUGGAAUCUUCCCAGUAGUGGGGAAUAACCAGUCGAAAGAUUGGGCUAAUACCGCAUACGUCUGAAAAGGGAAAGCGGGGGCUCGUAAGACCUCGCGCUAUUGGAUGAGCCAAAGUCGGAUUAGCUAGUUGGUGGGGUAAUGGCCUACCAAGGCGACAAUCCGUAGCUGGUCUGAGAGGACGACCAGCCACACCGGAACUGAGACACGGUCCGGACUCCUACGGGAGGCAGCAGUGGGGAAUAUUGGACAAUGGGGGAAACCCUGAUCCAGCGACGCCGCGUGUGUGAAGAAGGCCUGCGGGUUGUAAAGCACUUUUAGUGGGGACAAAAAGCUACGGAUUAAUACUCUGUGGUCUUGAUUUAACCCAAAGAAAAAGCACCGGCUAACUCUGUGCCAGCAGCCGCGGUAAUACAGAGGGUGCGAGCGUUUAAUCGGAAUUACUGGGCGUAAAGCGCGCGUAGACGGUUUUGUAAGUCAGAUGUGAAAUCCCUGGGCUC